rnacentral:rRNA from 1 species
GAACGCGAAGAACCUUACCAAGGCUUGACAUGCACGGCGGCACUGCAGAGAUGUGGUGGCAUUUAGUUGGUCGUGUGCAGGUGGUGCAUGGUUGUCGUCAGCUCGUGUCGUGAGAUGUUGGGUUAAGUCCCGCAACGAGCGCAACCCUUGCCCUAUGUUGCCAGCACGUGAUGGUGGGGACUCGUGGGGGACUGCCGGGGUUAACUCGGAGGAAGGUGGGGAUGACGUCAAAUCAUCAUGCCCCUUAUGUAUUGGGCUUCACGCAUGCUACAAUGGUUGGUACAGAGGGUUGCGAUACUGUGAGGUGGAGCGAAUCCCUUAAAGCCAGUCUCAGUUCGGAUUGGGGUCUGCAACUCGACCCCAUGAAGGUGGAGUCGCUAGUAAUCGCAGAUCAGCAACGCUGCGGUGAAUACGUUCUCGGGUCUUGUACACACC